AACCGAACCCGAACGCUCCGUCAAGUACGGGAGCUCACAUGGAUCAGGAAGCGUGGGCGGGACCGUGGAGGAAGCAAAUGGAAGUCGAUGGGAGAGGAAAUGUUUGGACAGAAAUGAUACUGUUAAAUGUCUAGUGACUGUACAGCUGGAACAAACCCAUGGAAAGUGAAAGAAGAAGCGGCUGCUCGGCUCUCAACUGCUUCCAGAUGUGGAAUGCCAGAGAUAAUCUGUCCUUUUGGAUCUUAAUGAGAACGGGGUGUCUUGCAGAAGCUAAAGGUCCAGAUCCGGCUACCAGAUUCUAGACAUCCUACACAUGCAUGUGGAUUCCAUAACUGCUGUUCAAAGUGGAAAGGAGACAGGCAUCUCUGCACUAGCCGUCUGAUUCUGGCUCUGCACUGAUCAACACAUAAAUAAGACAACCUACAGUUCCAUGUUCCUGAAAGCACCUUGGCCUAUUUUUUAUCCACGGUGCCAACGCAGUUUGUUACGGCAGGGGCACCAAAAAUGCAGGCUGCCAAAACAUCCCAUUCUGGAUGGGGUGAUAGGUGCCCACCCCCUGCCCCUCCUCCAAAUCUUCUUCUCUCCACUCCCUCACCCCCUUCUCUUUCUUCCUCCUCCCUCCUGCAGACACCAUAAAUCACCAUAUGUCUCCUCAAGGUUGACCUGCUGAUGAACCACUCGCUUUUUAAAAAAAAAAGUCAUUUAAAUAACUAAAGAAGGGGCCUCACACAUGUGAAUGCACUUCUUAGAGGUCAGUAGUUUAAUAUUUAAUACAUUACUACUGUACCUUUGCAGCUAUUUACAGUGCAGUUGCCCCAAAUAAAAGGAAAUAAAAGUUGAAAUUCGGCAACAGAAAUGGCCUGACGAAAGUAAAGUAGGUUAAUUCAUACUUGGAAACAGUCAAAUUUUAUGUCAGCUGACUCCUUUUUAGUCGAAGGCAUGUAGUUCGUAUUUCAGUCAGAAAAGUUAUUCACUACGCUUGGUUAAACAGAUAGUAUCUCAUCAAACAGUACUUUCAGUUUUCAUUUUGAUAAAUUUGCCCGUGGCUGAGUAUUAUGUUCUGGCAGACAGGAGAGAUCUGGGAAGUUCACGUUGGUCACUAUGAGGUCGUAGCAGAGAAAGGGGUUGAGACAGGAAGGUGGAAAACGGCAAUGAAUAAAAGUCCGAAAAAGUGAACACAGCAAGAGACACAUAGAGACAAACAAACAAACAGAGAGAACAUAGGGAGCAUAAGAGAGAGAACAGAAACGUGGAAGAGUGAAAAAGCAGACAAAAAUGUCCUGGGGCGAGGCCUGCAGGAAAUGAAGUCAACAGUGUUAGAGAGAUGGGAAGAGCAGCUGUGGGGCCGCAGUCCUCUGUUCCCACAAUCGGCAACUGUAACACCACACGGUUAAUGAGUGAAACCAGAAAAUGACACUGUAGUUGCAAUUAAGUGCCGCUCAGACUGUGAUUCUAUUGUUCCAUGUGCCACAAUUGAUGUAACUGUUGAUGCUGUAUGAGCUAUAGAAGAUAAACUAUACCGGUGUCAAGGAC